rnacentral:rRNA from 1 species
UACGUAGGGGGCAAGCGUUGUCCGGAAUUACUGGGCGUAAAGCGUGCGCAGGCGGCGCGUUAAGACAGGUGUGAAAGCCCCGAGCUUAACUUGGGAAUUGCGCUUGUGACUGGCGUGCUGGAGUGUGGCAGAGGGAGGUGGAAUUCCACGUGUAGCAGUGAAAUGCGUAGAGAUGUGGAGGAACACCGAUGGCGAAGGCAGCCUCCUGGGCCAGCACUGACGCUCAUGCACGAAAGCGUGGGGAGCAAACA